UGGGCGGAGGGGCUCGUUAUGGGAAAGGGGUGCGUGCGCGUUUGUGCUAAAACAAGAAAGGCAAGAAUCUCCGAGAACAAAACUCUGGUCCUCGCCUGGCCGGGGACCGCAGAAGACAGGGGCGGCAGCGCCAAGGCGGGUCAGGGGCCGGUCCAGCCAAGUUUGCUCCGGCUUAGAUAAACUUUCUGAUGGCAGUUUUUCCUGGUUGCAGCCUGGGUUCCUUGUAACAGGGCCUUCCCUCCCCUCCUCCUCUUUCCUCUCCUCUCCCCUCCCCUCCCCUCCUUUCUCCCCCUUCCUCCUCUUCCUCCUCCUCCUCUUGCUCCUCCCGGGCGGGGAAACCCAGCCCCGCGCUCGUCUUUGGGGCCACCGGUCGCCCCCGCCUCCGGGACCUGCGGGGAGGGCCCGCGAGAGGUUUUUAAUAUACAUACAAAACCCUGAAUGGUCAAUUUUUGUGUUGUAGAUGGAGACGAGAGAUCUGGACUUCUGAACAUCUACCGGAAAAGAUAAAAUGUGCAAGCCCUUCAGAACGCUGGGGAGGUUGGGCUGAACUGCAGUGGGAGAGGAGAAGAGAUGCUGGCGUGAAGGGGUGGGGCAGAAGAUCAGGGGAAAAUUGCGGAUGAUCUGAAUGAUAGCAGUGACCACCAGCAACCUACAGAGCUGCCCAACCAGGAAAUUGUCAGAUGGAAGCAACGCUUGCAGGCAAAGAAGGCUGAAGCAGGCCAAGGCAGGAAUGAAACAGUCAUAAAUGUUGGAGUGAAGCGACUGACCUCCCCGGUCCACACCCCGGCCCAGCGUCCUGCAUCUGCUGGAGGAUGGUGGAGACCAUGUGGAGGAUGGGGACUUGGCAGUGGAGGAGAACAUGGAAGCAGGAUAUGGCAGUCCCCUAGCGUCCCAGCCACAAGUCCUCUGAAGAGUGUGGAUGACGAUGGUGACUUAGGUGCAUCCUUCGAAUGUCCUGAGGGGGAGACUGGAGAAGCAGACACGCAAUUGUGGGAAGAAAUCAAAGGCAUAAAGAACUCACAGCACAAGUCCAAAGUCUGAUCAGCGAGCAGGCCUCUCUGCAGGGUGCAAGGGCACAGCUGGAGAGGG
rnacentral:lncRNA from 1 species